AACAAAUAGGCCAAGCUAAGAUCUCCACAGUAUCAGGGGGUUAAAGUUACCUAUCAAUAGAAAAUUUAUAUUUUUUUAGAAAGUUAAAUUUGAAAAAAAAAUCACCCGCCAUUUUCUUUUUCUUGACGCCCCGAAAUUUUAACUAAAAGACCGGGAUUAGAUACCCCGUUAUUUAAAGACAUAAAUCCUAAUUAUUUAAUAGUUUACUUGAGUAUUACGGGCACCCUUAGAAAAUUUAUAUUUCUCCUUACUUUGCGUCUUUUAAGGUAUAUAGCAUGCUUAAAACUUAAAAAACUUGGCGGUACCCUAAAUCCUCCCAGGGGAACCUGUCCUAUAAUCGAUAAUCCACGAUUUAACUUACCUUAGUUUGAAUAACAAGAUUAUACCGUAAAAUCUGUCAUCCAGCUUGUAUACCGUCGUCGUCAGUUUACCUCCUAAAAGCAGUCAAGUUAACCAAAAAAAGCACAGAACAAGUUUAUUUUUACUUAUUCAUACUCAAUAUAUAAAACUAUAAACUAAUCUUGCCAUUUCAUACGACAGAUCAAGGUGCAGCCUACACUAAGGAUAGAGAUGGGUUACAAUAAUCUAUUCAUUACCCAAUUAUACGAAUUUUGUGUUGUAAUACAUGAUUGAAGGUGGACUUGGAAGUAAUUAUAUCAGAGAAUA
rnacentral:rRNA from 1 species